UACAGGGGGGGCAAGCGUUGUUCGGAAUUACUGGGCGUAAAGGGCGAGUAGGCGGCCAACUAAGUCCGACGUGAAAUCCCCAGGCUUAACCUGGGAACUGCGUCGGAUACUGGAUGGCUUGAAUUCGGGAGAGGGAUGCGGAAUUCCAGGUGUAGCGGUGAAAUGCGUAGAUAUCUGGAGGAACACCGGUGGCGAAGGCGGCAUCCUGGACCGACAUUGACGCUGAGGCGCGAAAGCCAGGGGAGCAAACGGG
rnacentral:rRNA from 1 species